GACGGAGGAUGCAAGUGUUAUCCGGAAUCACUGGGCGUAAAGCGUCUGUAGGUGGUUUAAAAAGUCCACUGUUAAAAAUUGAGGCUUAACUUCAAAGAUGCCGUGGAAACUUUUAAACUUGAGUAUGAUAGGGGUAGAGGGAAUUUCCAGUGGAGCGGUGAAAUGCGUAGAUAUUGGAAAGACCACCAAUGGCGAAGGCACUCUACUGGGCCAUUACUGACACUGAGAGACGAAAGCUAGGGGAGCGAAUGGG
rnacentral:rRNA from 1 species